CUUACUUUGGUUUUCGUCAAUCUUAUUGAGAGGAUGUGGAUAAGGAAUACGUAACCUACAGCAUUGCCGUGAGAUGACAUUAACUCCAGCGCUGAGCUUAGGCCACUGCCUGGCCUGUUGAAGUGUUCACCCAGCCUUAGCUUGCAGGAUGCCUACAAAAAGACUAAUUUCCCAGUAAUCCAACUUAUUCCAAACACUCCACCCACAAGGCAGCAAGUGAGGGAAAAAAUAGAAUUCUGCUUGAAGAUGCUUUUCAGUCAACUCUCUCUAGCUCAUAAACCAGCGCUUCUCCAAGAGUGUUAUGAACCCUGCACCCUCCUUGUCAAUGCUGAUUUCUGCACCCAUCUCCCAGUUACCAUCUGGAAUAGAAUCCAGUAG
rnacentral:lncRNA from 1 species